rnacentral:rRNA from 1 species
CGCGAAUUCGCCCUUCCCUAUGGGGUGCAGCAGUCGCGAAAACUCCGCAAUACGCGAAAGCGUGACGGGGCUACCCCGAGUGCCGUCCGCUGAGGAUGGCUUUUUCCCGGUGUAAUGAGCCGGGGGAAUAAGGAGAGGGCAAGACUGGUGUCAGCCGCCGCGGUAAUACCAGCUCUCCGAGUGGUAGGGACGAUUAUUGGGCUUAAAGCGUCCGUAGCCGGCUUAGCAAGUCUUCUGUUAAAUUCAGCGACCCAAUCGUUGAGCCGCGGAAGAUACUGUUAGGCUAGGAGGCGGAAGAGGCCGACGGUAUUCUCGGGGUAGGGGUGAAAUCCUAUAAUCCCGGGAGGACCACCAGUGGCGAAGGCUGUCGGCUAGAACGCGCUCGACGGUGAGGGACGAAAGCUGGGGGAGCGAACCGGAUUAGAUACCCGGGUAGUCCCAGCUGUAAACGAUGCGGGCUAGGUGUUGGGGUGGCUACGAGCCACUUCAGUGCCGCAGGGAAGCCAUUAAGCCCGCCGCCUGGGGAGUACGGCCGCAAGGCUGAAACUUAAAGGAAUUGGCGGGGGAGCACCACAAGGCGUGAAGCUUGCGGUUCAAUUGGAGUCAACGCCGGGAACCUUACCGGGGGCGACAGCAGGAUGAAGGCCAGAUUGAAGGUCUUGCUGGACAAGCUGAGAGGAAGUGCAUGGCCAA